UACGUAGGGUGCAAGCGUUAUCCGGAAUUAUUGGGCGUAAAGAGCUCGUAGGCGGUUUGUCGCGUCUGCUGUGAAAACUGGAGGCUCAACCUCCAGCCUGCAGUGGGUACGGGCAGACUAGAGUGCGGUAGGGGAGAUUGGAAUUCCUGGUGUAGCGGUGGAAUGCGCAGAGUAUCAGGAGGAACACCGAUGGCGAAGGCAGAUCUCUGGGCCGUUACUGACGCUGAGGAGCGAAAGCGUGGGGAGCGAACAGG
rnacentral:rRNA from 1 species